CGAUUCUGUUUAGUUUAUUUCUGGAAAAUGUUGAAACUCCACCGAAAACUGAUGCAAAAUGUAAAACGCAAGGAAAGGACUUGUAGUGGCGCCUGUCCAACCAAAAAUAUCGGAUAACCGUCCCACGGUUUCCCCUUCCCUUAGACAAGCAACUUGCACCUUUUGGGCAGUUACGCGCAAGAAAAAAAUGACAUAAGUUAACAGCGGCUACUGUCAAGGUGUGGUGAGAAAAGGGGAAUGAGAGAACCAAGGGCUCAAGCGGAAGGAGAGUGGCUUGGGCAUGUUCUUUCCAAUUUUACUCGCGAUCCCAGACGGACGUCUGAAGAAAAUACUCAAGUAGUGCAGUGAAAGGAAAAAUUCUAACCUCGACCGUAAACACCGCGUGUCCAUCGUGGCUAAGAUCUAGUCAAAAGAUCAGCCGACCAUUCCUACGUUUAUUAAGCGAAGGCCGAACCCAUCGGGUUUGGCCGUACGUAAUACCGUACGAAACGCCGGUCGUAGUGCCGUAAGCCGUACCCACUACAGUCUCGUCACCUUACCACACAUAUAAAUACCCAGCGUCCCGAUCGACUACAGUAUGUGUUAGCCGUCUUCGCCCCCAAAUCUUCUUUCGGCGUGGCGUCUGCAUACAUUGACUUUCGUCAUUGCUACGUCGCUUACGCCGCCCGCAUACGAACAGUAACGCUAAAGGAGAAGACAUUUACCGGUGCCGAAAUACUGUUUGCGUUGCUGAUGAAGUCAUUCGGUGUCUCGAUCAUGAUGGCUAUGCCCAUGCAUUUCUUCAUAUUAGAAUAAUACUUUGGAACCCCACUAUUGUACCGACCCUAGGAUUAACAUUAAAAGUUAAAUUCGUGUGAUUCGGUUUGAUUGGUUUAUCAUAAAGAAAUGUGCAACUAGAAGGAAAGGAACUAAAACUAAUACUCGCGCAUAUCGCCUAUCUGCUCUGACACACUGAUAUUUACAAGUUUUCAGCCACCCGCAUCGACCACAUGGGAGCGCUUACAUCGUUGGAUUUGAUCGUAAUGUGAGUGAUAACCUGUGAACGACUGCUAUAUGUGAAUUCAAAAUUUUACGCAAGUCGAAGCAACAUUAAAGAUUCCAAGCCUCGACCGUAAACUUCCCAGCCGUACUGUAACGCUGACCAAUCCAAUUGUUCACGUGAUUGUUUUGUUCUGCUCUUUCGCAAGCAAUGUAACUUUCUGCAAUUCCGAAUCUAUCGACAACCGAACUUAUGAUUGGGAUUACCCCACAAGCAAUUGCUGUGCACUUUAAAGAUGCAUCCAUCCGUCCCUUGUUUUUUGCAUUUAAACUGAAAACCAUUCGAAUAUAUUUCUAUUUGUGUAACGUAAUUACCAUUAUUCCUGAAUAUACUCUUUAUAAUUAGUUGACCCUAGUCUAAUAAGAUCUUUCAUCAUGAUAUUUUUAUACCCGAUACUCAAAAUGAGUAUUGGGGUAUAUUAGAUUUGUGGUAAAAGUGG